rnacentral:snoRNA from 1 species
AUGCAGGUACUGUUAAAACUGAAGUGUUUUAUGGUCUUUUCCUCCUGUUUAAAGCAUUUGGUACAUAAGUAUCUCUAACUCCACUCCAUAAUAAAACGGAGACACUUGGUCCCCAACAU